CUAAUAUUGAGCAUCCAGUAACUAACACAUUAUGAUUAUUAUUAUGGAUUAACCAACCCGGCAGUCAUUGAUGAUACCCCGUUCCCAAAUGCCAGCUAUUAGAUAACUGUGUGAUUGGUUCCAGCUCCUCUACACGAUGUUCCUCUCCAGCACGGGUUCCUGGGCCAGAAUGCGUCUGAAAUCGAAGGCACUCAGGUCCAGCGUUUUAAAGUCCCCGUCCAGGAUCAGUUCUGCCACCGCACGACCGACCGCGGGGGACUGCUGCAGGCCGUGGCCGCUGAACCCGGUGGCAAAGUACAUGUUGUGGAUGAGAGGGCAGUGGAAUUCCAGCGAUGGAGCCCGUGGGACCGAAGCCAAUUCCCAGCUUCUCUGCCAGUUUACCAGAAAAGGCUCCCGCCGCAUUCACCACAAUGGCACAUUCAACCAGCUGGUACUCCAGGCUGUUCAGCAUCC